rnacentral:rRNA from 1 species
UGCAAUCUACCUUUUACAGAGGGAUAGCCCAGAGAAAUUUGGAUUAAUACCUCAUAGUAUUAUGAAAUGGCAUCAUUUUAUAAUUAAAGUCACAACGGUAAAAGAUGAGCAUGCGUCCCAUUAGCUAGUUGGUAAGGUAACGGCUUACCAAGGCUACGAUGGGUAGGGGUCCUGAGAGGGAGAUCC